UGCUGCUAGGGCAUGAGAGGCUGGGAAGGGAGGACUGGGCUGUCUCCUGCUUCAGCCAACAAAGUGAAUCAGACAAAGAAUGAGGCUGAACUCAUCAAGGAUGCUGUAGAACCACAUGGACAUAAUCACAUAAUCAUGGUCCUUAAAGAAUUUUAAAUGUUUUUUUUCUUUAUCUGAUGGCUCCAUUGCAGACAGACUUGGCUGUGUCCACACCAGAGCAUGAGACCGUCACUGUUUUUUGGUUAUGUCAGUGAACUAUCUUCACUCCCUCCCACCAAGAAGCAUAGGAAUGUAUUCACCACCAGAUUAAAACCAGC
rnacentral:lncRNA from 1 species